UCUCUCUCCUUGCUGUUUUUGCUUUGCCACUUUUGAAAAAAUCUCACAUCCCAACUAACUAUAUAAAGGUAAAGCGCUGCCGUAUGCAUUUUGUGUGAGAGGUUGUUGAAAAUGAGACCGUUUGAACCACGGGUUGUGGCUCCGCCACCGCCUGAAUCUGCUCUUCAAGCACCGCCGCCUCUGCCUCUGCCGUCUGAAUCAGUAGUUCAAGUUCCUCCUGAAUUGCCGAUGCUAGUCGUAGAGUUCUGCUUGACAGCAGCUUUUGAAAUUGCCAUCCGAUCCACACAGACUCCUACUACGCAAUACUACUCUAUAACCUUCCACUUGGUGUGUCUGGUAAUGGUGUUUGCGUUUGCUUUUAUCUUUGUUGCCAAAUACAUUUCUUCCAAGCACCCGAACCUAGGCCGCGUGCUCGAGCACGCUGGAGUAGUCUGUGGAGUUACCGCUUUCUUUGUUGCCAUCACAGUCUCUUUCCCGCUCUGCCUCAAGGUCAUUUCCUGGAUCGUAUACGCUCUUUCAUUGCUAGCAAUUUUCAUCUUCAAUUGCUGAAUCCUAGCAGAGACGAUUGUCACUGUCUCAGUCAGGGAUUGGAAAUAAGAAAAGAAGCAUGGAAUGGAAUAACAGAUACAUCUCUUAUUGAAUAUAACUUCAAAAGCCCGAUGAGUGAUGACCGCUUGGCCAAUCACGAUGAUCCGUGAUGCUAUUACUGGAAUAAGACAACCAACUUCGCUGGAUAAUUGUACUUGAUUGAUUAGCAUAAGCAAAUAAUAUGAAGUACCAAGCACUUAGAAGGUAUUGAUCAUUCUCAGUGACUCCUAUUAGUUCUCCUCUGUCAUUUUACAUCCUUUAACAUUUACUCAUUAUGGAUGACUGCAUAUUUCAAAAAACUCACAGAAUUUGACUUUCUUCAUAGAAUACUUACAUGUUGGAAGCGGUGAAGCUGUAAUAUCUACUCAGAUAGUUCUCGCAUCCUAAUUAUCUCUAACAUAUGAGUGAUUUUAUCUAUACAUUUUCCACUUAUUAUGUUAAUGAAUUCAAAUUUCCAGUUGUAGAAUGUUUAUAAAUGAAACACUGUCAACGGCAGAUCCUUGGA